UGGAUUGUAGCUCAGUGGUAGAGCGAUGGCCUUAUAAGCCAUGUGUCGCAAGUUCGAUUCUUGUCAAUCCAA
rnacentral:tRNA from 1 species